GGCCCCGAGUCUCCGCCUCUGGUUGCGGUUCUGCGGCUGCCGCUCCGGAAGAGGCCGUGGGCCGGUGGCAGCAGCAUCAUGGCGGCGCUCCGGGCCCUCAGCUGGGACCACCUCUUGCACUUCAACGGGACGGGAGCCCCGGUCGCGCUCCUCCACGCUCAACCGUGGCUUCCCUCAUGCUCUUGGGGAGCUCGGGGCGCCGCUCGGCGAUGACCCUGCAGCAAUCUGGACCCGCUGACAGUGGCUACUGGGUGGAGGCCGCAGCUGGCUCCUGAACCGAGACCCAGUACGGGAUCCUGUCCUAUCUGCAGUACCUGGUGCACCGGCCCCAGUACUACAUUGUCGUAAUGGGUAAAGCAGAAGGCUCUGUGCCUAGGGAAGAAUGGCAUGGACACGUUACUGCUCUCUCUGUUGCACCAGAAUUCCGACGGCUGGGUUUGGCUGCUAAACUGGUGGAACUUCUGGAAGAAAUUUCAGAGAAGUCAGUGUAGGAUUUCUGAGGAACCUGCAUCUUCAGCAUCUUCAGACAACCCUGUAUCUAACACUCAAGAUGGUUAAUGGAGAAGCAUGGAUAAAUGUGGGAUUGGCAGAAAUGAAAUUCAGAGAACAGAGUAUUAAUUUGCCAUACAAGAUAGGUUUAUGACUAAGCAGUAUCAAAUCUUGUGCACAUAAUAAAUUUACCUUACUCCUGUAA